GCACGCUGGGAAACGUAGUUGCUGCCCUCUCCUCGAUUGGGUCGGCUUUGCCCUAAUUACUAGGCGCACCCUGCAGGAAGCAAGAAGAGGCCAAGAUCAGAUGUUUUCAGUUGUUGGAGAACCAGAGGACCAAAUAACGUAUGAACUAUGAGAAACUAACAAAUAUUUUGUUAAUGAACACAAGAAUGUAAAAAAAAUCAGCUCGUUCUUGUCAAAAGAAUCCACUCGGUCCUCUUUCAUAACGAUCAGGUAGAGAGUAAGCCACGCAGACGCUACUCUCUAGUCUUCUGUCUCUUCAGCGUAGAUUUUGAUUCCUUGUUGACAGGUCAGGAAAAGCCACUGCUUUCUUCUAGAGAUACUGAUCUGGCAUCAUUGUAGUCACAAGAAUAGCAGCAAGGAUCCCUACAACACUUAAGAUUGAAUUGUAUUCUUUGGACAAAGAAAUUGUGACAGUGGAAGAAUAAGAAUGGCAAACUCUCCAGGACAGCCAGGGCUAUACAGAGAAACUCUGUCUCGAAAAACCAAAAAAAAAAAAAAAAAAAAAAAAAAAAAUGGCAAACUUAUCUGUCAGUGCCUCAUCUAUACAGGCUAUCUACACUUUUUGUCUCAGUAGAUCGACACACGGUCACUUGACGGAAGAAACAGGAGGCUUGUGAAAUGGCUCAGCAGGUCAAGAUGCCUUCUGCUAAGC